GACGAACGCUGGCGGCGUGCUUAACACAUGCAAGUCGAACGGAAAGGCCCCUUUGGGGGUACUCGAGUGGCGAACGGGUGAGUAACACGUGAGUAACCUGCCCUUGACUUCGGGAUAACUUCAGGAAACUGGGGCUAAUACCGGAUAGGAAUCCUUGCGGCAUGGUGGGGGUUGGAAAGCUUCGGCGGUUUUGGAUGGACUCGCGGCUUAUCAGCUUGUUGGUGGGGUAGUGGCUUACCAAGGCUUUGACGGGUAGCCGGCCUGAGAGGGCGACCGGCCACAUUGGGACUGAGGUACGGCCCAGACUCCUACGGGAGGCAGCAGUGGGGAAUAUUGCACCAUGGGCGGAAGCCUGAUGCAGCAACGCCGCGUGCGGGAUGACGGCCUUCGGGUUGUAAACCGCUUUCAGCAGGGGCGAAGCUUGUGGUGACGGUACCUGCAGAAGAAGCACCGGCUAACUACGUG
rnacentral:rRNA from 1 species